CCUACGGGGUGCAGCAGUGGGGAAUAUUGGACAAUGGGCGAAAGCCUGAUCCAGCCAUGCCGCGUGUGUGAAGAAGGCCUUCGGGUUGUAAAGCACUUUCAGUGGGGAAGAAAGCCUUGGGGCUAAUACCCUCGAGGAAGGACAUCACCCACAGAAGAAGCACCGGCUAACUCCGUGCCAGCAGCCGCGGUAAUACGGAGGGUGCGAGCGUUAAUCGGAAUUACUGGGCGUAAAGCGCGCGUAGGCGGUCUGAUAAGCCGGUUGUGAAAGCCCCGGGCUCAACCUGGGAACGGCAUCCGGAACUGUCAGGCUAGAGUGCAGGAGAGGAAGGUAGAAUUCCCGGUGUAGCGGUGAAAUGCGUAGAGAUCGGGAGGAAUACCAGUGGCGAAGGCGGCCUUCUGGACUGACACUGACGCUGAGGUGCGAAAGCGUGGGUAGCAAACAGGAUUAGAUCCCCGGGUAGUC
rnacentral:rRNA from 1 species